rnacentral:rRNA from 1 species
UACGAAGGGGGCGAGCGUUGUUCGGAGUUACUGGGCGUAAAGGGCGCGUAGGCGGCGAUCCAAGUUAGGCGUGAAAGCCCCGGGCUUAACCUGGGAAUUGCGCUUAAGACUGGACUGCUUGAGUGCGGGAGAGGUGAGUGGAAUUCCCAGUGUAGAGGUGAAAUUCGUAGAUAUUGGGAAGAACACCAGUGGCGAAGGCGGCUCACUGGCCCGCAACUGACGCUGAGGCGCGGAAAAGCGUGGGGGAGCAAACAGGGAU